GCUCGUGUCGUGAGAUGUUGGGUUAAGUCCCGCAACGAGCGCAACCCCUAUCCUCAGUAGCCAGCAUUUAAGGUGGGCACUCUGGGGAGACUGCCAGGGAUAACCUGGAGGAAGGCGGGGAUGACGUCAAAUCAUCAUGCCCCUUAUGAUUUGGGCUACACACGUGCUACAAUGGCGUAAACAAAGGGAAGCGAGAUUGUGAGAUGGAGCAAAUCCCAAAAAUAACGUCCCAGUUCGGACUGUAGUCUGCAACCCGACUACACGAAGCUGGAAUCGCUAGUAAUCGCGGAUCAGAAUGCCGCGGUGAAUACGUUCCCGGGUCUUGUACACACCGCCCGUCACACCAUG
rnacentral:rRNA from 1 species